UACGUAGGGUGCGAGCGUUAAUCGGAAUUACUGGGCGUAAAGUGUGCGCAGGCGGCCCCGCAUGUCGAGUGUGAAAUCCCCGGGCUUAACUUGGGAAUUGCGCUCGAAACUACGGGGCUAGAGUGUGGCAGAGGGGGGUGGAAUUCCACGUGUAGCGGUGAAAUGCGUAGAGAUGUGGAGGAACACCGAUGGCGAAGGCAGCCUUCUGGGCCAACACUGACGCUCAUGCACGAAAGCGUGGGGAGCAAACAGG
rnacentral:rRNA from 1 species